CAGUCGCCGCGGUAAUACGUAGGUGGCAAGCGUUGUCCGGAUUUAUUGAGCGUAAAGCGAGCGCAGGCGGUCAAUUAAGUCUGAUGUGAAAGCCCCCGGCUCAACCGGGGAGGGUCAUUGGAAACUGGUUGACUUGAGUGCAGAAGAGGAGAGUGGAAUUCCAUGUGUAGCGGUGAAAUGCGUAGAUAUAUGGAGGAACACCAGUGGCGAAGGCGACUCUCUGGUCUGUAACUGACGCUGAGGAGCGAAAGCGUGGGGAGCGAACAGGAUUAGAGACCCCAGUAGUCCCUGUCUCUUAUAC
rnacentral:rRNA from 1 species